rnacentral:lncRNA from 1 species
UAUUUCUGUAUUCCUUCCCCACUCGAUCUCAAAAAAUAUAUAUAUAUGACAUAUAUAUUACACCCCAUAAUAAUAAUAAAACCCUGCCCCGUUUUUAGUGUUGUAAUCCCUGGUCACUGAUGCCCUGUCCGACUGACGUAGGACCCCAUAACGUAUGUCAAGGCUCUGCCUAAAUUCGUUAGGAUUCUGUCUCGUGACGUAGGGAUAAUGUGGAAUUGGGUUACUAUACUUAUUGUGAGUACACUAUAUAUUUUAUUAAAUAGUCCAGGAGUUGUACCCAAAAUAUAACAAACCUCCCGAAUAUUUUUCUGACACCCUACACUUCCUAAAAUACACCCCGUACGUGAAAACCAAGCCGAAAUACAAUAUAGUAUUAAAAAUAAAUAAAGAACAAGAAAUAAUAAGUUGAGGCGGGCCGCAUAGACCCACCCUAACCUUUAACGCGGGCCGCAUUAAGGUGUAACCAGACUCCGCUGGAAUCUUUAGUUCAUGCGGGCCGCGUAAGAUAUCGUUAAGUUAACGCGGGCCGCGAGAGAUCGAAGUUGUGGCGCAGCCCGGUGAUGACACGUGUCAUCAUCGUGGCGGGUCUAGGGGUGAGCCGGACAAGCUAGUCCGUUGACCAGGAUUGACGCGGGCCGCAUAAUCCCUGUCCAUUCUUUACGCGGGCCGCGUGGGAACCAGUUUCAGCAACUAUAUAAGGAACGCAUCGGAUUUCAAUUCAGUUCGUUCAUUUCUCAAUUCUCAAAUCACAAUUUCUGUAGUAGGCUUAUUAUACUCGGGUAUUAUACCCCUAAUUAGCGAAGCUCUGCCUCGUUGUAAGUAUCAUAACCCCUGGAUACGUAUUAGAUACUCUGCCCGAUUGAUCUAGGGUUCCGUAACGGCUGUCGUGGUUCUGCCCGACGUAGUCGUUGGAAUGCCGUCUCGGGGAGGGUAUUACUAAUGUUAAAAUGGGUUAUUAUACUAACACGUGUGCAUUGUUUAUUCAACUAGAUUAUAACCAGGAAGCCACAAAGGAAAUACCUAAAAUAGCAAUUGAUUGAGUCUUUGUAAUUCUACAAUUACUGCCGGUAUGUUGGGGUUUUGUAUACAAAAUGUGAGUAACGUUACCAUUGGACGAAGAGUUAGCCAAUGUGUAAUAUGACCCUCAGUCGGACUUGACACUACUGAAUGAGUAAUUGGGUAGAUAUAAACAUUGUAAUCGCCCUCAAUACUGUUUAAAAUGAAUUAAUGUUUCUUGAUUAAACUGGGAUUCACUCACCAGUAUUUCUUGCUGAUAAAAUGUUUUUAAAACGCGUUUCAGGUAACACAAUGUGAAAGCCAAUUAGAAUAGAGCCAGCUCGAGAGCACUGACGGCUUGGAAGAACGUGGCUAUAAAAGUUACCUAAAAGACGAUGUUUUAAAUUCAAUAAAAUAAGGGUUAUCCCUAUAAACAUGUUGUAAUAAAAAUCUUGGGUUUUACCCAUGUGAUUAUAAAAAUAAAAUAUGGUGGUUUUACU